GUUCUGGUAGCUCAGGGGUAGAGCAAUCGGCUGCAGUUCCAACGAUUGGAUCCGAUAGGUCAGGCGUUCAAAUCGCCUCCAGAACU
rnacentral:tRNA from 1 species